UACGUAGGGGGCAAGCGUUGUCCGGAAUUACUGGGCGUAAAGGGCUCGUAGGCGGUUUGUCGCGUCGGGAGUGAAAUCCACUGGCUUAACUGGUGGCUUGCUUUCGAUACGGGCAGACUGGAGGUAUGCAGGGGAGAACGGAAUUCCUGGUGUAGCGGUGAAAUGCGCAGAUAUCAGGAGGAACACCGGUGGCGAAGGCGGUUCUCUGGGCAUGUCCUGACGCUGAGGAGCGAAAGUGUGGGGAGCGAACAGG
rnacentral:rRNA from 1 species